rnacentral:rRNA from 1 species
GAUGAACGCUGGCGGCGUGCCUAAUACAUGCAAGUCGAGCGAACAGACGAGGAGCUUGCUCCUCUGACGUUAGCGGCGGACGGGUGAGUAACACGUGGAUAACCUACCUAUAAGACUGGGAUAACUUCGGGAAACCGGAGCUAAUACCGGAUAAUAUAUUGAACCGCAUGGUUCAAUAGUGAAAGACGGUUUUGCUGUCACUUAUAGAUGGAUCCGCGCCGCAUUAGCUAGUUGGUAAGGUAACGGCUUACCAAGGCAACGAUGCGUAGCCGACCUGAGAGGGUGAUCAGCCACACUGGAACUGAGACACGGUCCAGACUCCUACGGGAGGCAGCAGUAGGGAAUCUUCCGCAAUGGGCGAAAGCCUGACGGAGCAACGCCGCGUGAGUGAUGAAGGUCUUCGGAUCGUAAAACUCUGUUAUUAGGGAAGAACAAAUGCGUAAGUAACUAUGCACGUCUUGACGGUACCUAAUCAGAAAGCCACGGCUAACUACGUG